UCCGUCCAUCCGUCUGUCCGUUUGUACGAGGGGGAUAUUGUGAGACUUUUUUGACCUUCUGGGACUAUAAAGAAAGUCCCACAAAAAUUUUCGAAAUUUGUCCAUUUCUGAAGUCCCACAUUGAUAAUUUUCCUUUUUUUUAUGAAGUCCCACAAGAUUUUGGACAUAUUUGGUUGGACAAAUCUGUCUAUGUGAUGGACUUCUCCAUAAAAUUUCUUCUAGCCUCAUUUUGGAUUUCAAUUUUGGAACCUCUCAGGUUUUUACCAUAUGACAUAAUGUAGCCUCACUCAUUCGCUGUUCGGAACACCUCGAGAAUUUUCCACUUUGCUAUGAAAUUGGCUUCUAUUGCUGAUAAACUGUGCUGUUAAAAGUUCAGCUGUCAUGGCAAAUUUAGUUUAAUUAGCGUCAGCGGACAUACUGCAAUUGUCUCUGGUGGAAAUAACUUUCUUAUUAAGAUGAUGAACUUGUCAGAUUCACAGCUGCAGUGGGCAUGUGACCAUUUUGGUCACACAAAAGCAGUUCAUUUAAACCACAGCGGUUACCUUGAACGAGUUCAGAUUGCAAAGCUCAUGAUUGUUCAUGACAUGAAUCUUACAGGUGAAUUAAAGGGGAAAACCCUUGCAGACAAAGAAUUGAAUGAGGCCGUGUUAAAGAAAAUUCAGGGGGAAAUUGGAGGUGCAGACGAAGCAGUGGAGCCCCUGAAUUUUAAAUUCAACUUCGAUGAUAAUGUCGAAGAUCUGGAUUCAAUCGACAUUUAUGAUUAUGAUCAGGAUGAUGUUGAUAGUGUUGAAAAAAAUGAUCGCAAGCCGAAGAGCAGUAGGAAAAGGUGGACUGAAGAGGAGAUUGAAGAAAUUCAACAGUAUUUUGCCAAAUUUCUAAAGACAAAAACAUGCCCCAGCAAGACAUACACACUAAAAGCCAUUGAGAAAAGUAAAACAAAAGGGGGGGGGCACUCGCCAAAAGAUUUUGGCAUACUAUUGUCAAAAAAAUUUCUAACAUGAACAAAAAGUAACUGAGUGAAGUUUUCCAGAGAUACUGCAGUGAAAUCAGGAAGUGGAAGAUACUUUUAACUAUGCAUAAUAUUGUGAACAAAGUUAUUGUUUUACAAGAUUUAAAAUUCUUUUUACCUGAAUGUAGACCAAAGGAUUUAGUGAUUGCAAGAAAUUGUAAACUUCAAAAUUUUGUACUGUGAAAAUAUAUUGUAUUUAAGUUACUACCGGUCCAAAUAUAAUAUCAUGAUUCCCAUUUCUAUUGUUUUGAAUCAUAUGAUAUAAUAUUUUAUCAUAGAAUAUGAUAUUGUAAAAUAUUGUAUGGUUCAAUAUGAUAUUUAAUCAAUAAUUUUUCGUAUCAAAUCAUAUGGUAUUUUAUAUUGUAUUAUAUAUUUUGGAUU